GAAUUAGCUCAGCUGGUUAGAGCAUGGUGCUAAUAACACCAAGGUUGUGGUUUUGAUCCCCGUAUGGGCG